GAGAUAUUAGUAAAAUAAAUUACACCACCUUGUCAAGGUGAAAUCGUGAGUUAAAACCCCACAUAUCUUU
rnacentral:tRNA from 1 species